CAGCAGCCGCGGUAAUACGAAGGGUGCAAGCGUUACUCGGAAUUACUGGGCGUAAAGCGUGCGUAGGUGGUUGUUUAAGUCUGCUGUGAAAGCCCUGGGCUCAACCUGGGAAUUGCAGUGGAUACUGGGCAACUAGAGUAAGGUAGAGGAUAGUGGAAUUUCCGGUGUAGCAGUGAAAUGCGUAGAGAUCGGAAGGAACAUCUGUGACGAAGGCGACUAUCUGGGCCAUUACUGACACUGAGGCACGAAAGCGUGGGGAGCAAACAGGAUUAUAUACCCCCGUAGUCCCUGUCUCUUAUAC
rnacentral:rRNA from 1 species